rnacentral:rRNA from 1 species
GACGAACGCUGGCGGCGUGCUUAACACAUGCCAGUCGAACGGAAAGGCCCUGCUUUUUUGGGGUGCUCGAGUGGCGAACGGGUGAGUAACACGUGAGUAACCUGCCCUUGACUUUGGGAUAACUUCAGGAAACUGGGGCUAAUCCCGGAUAGGAGCCCCUGCUGCAUGGUGGGGGUUGGAACGUUUCGGCGGUUGGGGAUGGACUCGCGGCUUAUCAGCUUGUUGGUGGGGUAGUGGCUUACCAAGGCUUUGACGGGUAGCCGGCCUGAGAGGGUGACCGGCGACAUUGGGACUGAGAUACGGCCCAGACUCCUACGGGAGGCAGCAGUGGGGAAUAUUGCACAAUGGGCGGAAGCCUGAGGCAGCAACGCCGCGUGCGGGAUGACGGCCUUCGGGGUGUAAACCGCUUUCGCCUGUGACGAAGCGUGAGUGACGGUAAUGGGUAAAGAAGCACCGGCUAACUACGUG